GGCGGAAUUGCUAGUAAUCGCGAAUCAGAAUGUCGCGGUGAAUACGUUCCCGGGCCUUGUACACACCGCCCGUCACACCAUGAGAGUCGAUAACACCCGAAGCCUGUGAGCUAACCUUAGGGAGGCAGCAGUCGAAGGUGGGGUUGAUGAUUAGGGUGAAGUCGUAACAAGGUAUC
rnacentral:rRNA from 1 species